rnacentral:lncRNA from 1 species
GUUUGUGGAAAAUGUUGCAACUGCCAUUGAUCAAAAACUCUAUACAAUAGCGGUUUUUGUUGAUUUAAGCAAAGCGUUUGAUACCAUUGAUCACUCUCUUCUGUUACAAAAAUGUGAAUAUUAUGGGCUGCGGGGUAAAACACAUCAUUGGUUAAGUAGUUAUCUAAAAAUCGGGUUCAGUAUGUAAACAUUAGAAAUACAGAUUCUUAUUUAGAAAAUAUUUUUUGUGGACUCCCACAAGGUUCAGUCCUUGGACCAAAGUUAUUUUCAAUUUACAUUAAUGAUAUUUGUUUGAUGUCAAACAAGUUAAAAUGUAUUAUGUUUGCUGAUGAUACUAAUAUGUUUUGUUCAGGACAAGAUAUUGUUGAGUUGUUGAAUGUUGUUGAACAGGAAUUUAAUUUGGUAAAAAAAUGGUUUGAUUAUAACAAGUUAUCUCUGAAUGAAAACAAAACUAAAUUUAUGAUAUUUUCUGGUAAUAGAAAGGUUGAAAAUGUUAAAUUAUAUUUAAAUGGUGUAGAAAUCCAAUAUGUUAAAGAAAUAACAUUUUUAGGAGUAAUAAUUGAUGAUAAAUUGUCUUGGAAAUCUCACAUAAAUCAUAUAAAACGUAAAGUAUCUAGAUCCAUCGGUAUUCUGUUUAAAAUCAGUGAUGUAUUGAACAAAAAGAGUUUGUUUCUUGUCUAUUGUUCACUAGUCAUUCCUUAUCUUUCAUAUUGUGCAGAGAUCUGGGGAAAUGCAGGAAAAACUAUUAUUGAAUCAUUAUUUAAACUACAAAAAAAGGCUAUUAGAAUAGUCAACAGAGCAGGAUAUUGUGAUCCAACCAAUUCGUUAUUUUGUUUGAAUAAUAGUUUAAAAUUAAAGGAAAUUGUUUAUGUCAAGGUAUUAGAAAUUGUCUAUAGAGUAAAACAUAAUUUGGUUUCAAAAAAUAUACAGAAGCUGUUUACUUUAAGGGUUAGUCAGUAUAAUUUAAGAGGUCUGUAUUAUUUUGAACAAGUUAAAGUUCGAACUAAUGUAAAGAUGAGAUGUGUUUCAGUUCUUGGUGUUAAAUUAUG